CAUAUACUUUUUCCGUCCAACAAAAAAUGUCUCAACUUUGACUAAAUUUGAAUGCAUUAUGGAUUAAGUCAUGUCUGAAUACAUUUAAUUUGGACAAACUUUAAACAUUUUUUGUUGGACGGAUGAAGUAUCAC
rfam:Brachypodium distachyon strain Bd21 chromosome 5, whole genome shotgun sequence.